AAACAUAUCAAUAAGCGGAGGAAAAGAAACUAACAAGGAUUCCCCUAGUAACGGCGAGCGAAGCGGGAAGAGCUCAAAUUUGAAAGCUGGCACCUCCGGUGUCCGCGUUGUAAUCUCGAGACGUGUUUUCCGUGCGGCUCUAUGGACAAGUCCCUUGGAACAGGGCAUCGUAGAGGGUGAAAAUCCCGUACUUGCCAUGGAUGUACCGUGCUUUGUGAUACACGCUCUAAGAGUCGAGUUGUUUGGGAUUGCAGCUCAAAAUGGGUGGUAGACUCCAUCUAAAGCUAAAUAUCGGGGAGAGACCGAUAGCGAACAAGUACCGUGAGGGAAAGAUGAAAAGCACUUUGGAAAGAGAGUUAAAAGUACGUGAAAUUGUCGAAAGGGAAGCGCUUGAAGUCAGCCAUGCUGCGCGGACUCAGCCCGGCUGAUGCCUGGUGUAUUUCCCAGCAGCAAGUCAGCAUGGAUUUGGAUCGCCGGAGAAGGGUGGGAGGAAUGUGGCACCCUCGGGUGUGUUAAGCCUCCUACUGGAUACGGCGAUUUGGAUCCAGGAACGCAGUGUGCCUCUGGCGGGUCUUCGGACACCUUCACACUUAGGAUGCUGGCGUAAUGGCUUUAAGC
rnacentral:rRNA from 1 species